rnacentral:rRNA from 1 species
AAAGUCCCCUUCGGGGGAUGAGUAGAGUGGCGCACGGGUGAGUAACACGUAGGUAAUCUACCUUCGGGUGGGGAAUAACCCAGGGAAACUUGGGCUAACACCGCAUAAUGCAGCGGCACCACAUGGUGACAGUUGUUAAAGCGGGGGAUUUUCGGACCUCGCGCCUGAAGAGGAGCCUGCGGCAGAUUAGCUAGUUGGUAGGGUAACGGCUUACCAAGGCGACGAUCUGUAGCCGGCCUGAGAGGGCGGUCGGCCACACUGACACUGACAUACGGGUCAGACUCCUACGGGAGGCAGCAGUCGGGAAUUUUGGGCAAUGGGCGAAAGCCUGACCCAGCAACGCCGCGUGAAGGAUGAAAUCCCUCGGGAUGUAAACUUCGCAAGAAUGGGAAGAAUUAGUAGGGGUUAAUACCCUCUAUGAUGACGGUACCAUUUGUAAGCUCCGGCUAACUCCGUGCCAGCAGCCGCGGUAAUACGGGGGGAGCAAGCGUUGUUCGGAUUUACUGGGCGUAAAGGGCGCGUAGGCGGUCAGCACAAGUCAGUUGUGAAAUCUCCGGGCUUAACUCGGAAAGGUCAACUGAUACUGUGCGACUAGAGUGCGGAAGGGGCAACUGGAAUUCUCGGUGUAGCGGUGAAAUGCGUAGAUAUCGAGAGGAACACCUGCGGCGAAGGCGGGUUGCUGGGCCGACACUGACGCUGAUGCGCGAAAGCCAGGGGAGCGAACGGGAUUAGAUACCCCGGUAGUCCUGGCCUUAAACGAUGGAUGCUUGGUGUCUGGAGUUUUAUAGUCUCCGGGUGCC